UCUUUUCUUCCAAUUAACAAAACCUAGAGUCGCAACGUUUUUGUGAUGGGGAAAGAGAAGAUGGACCGAAUUGAUGCAGUAUUGUUUGAUGAUGAUGAUAACGAAGAAUUCAGAAAAUCAUACGAAAGACUCAGAAAACUUUCAUCGGAAAAGCAAAAGGGCGUUGUCGAAACUUUUCCAGAGAGAUGGGAGAUUUUGUUUGGGGUCUUCAGUUUGAUAAAUUAGAACAACAACAAAAACCUAUUGUUGAUGUGCUGCCAAAACCGAAAGAGGAAGUUUCUGUAAUAGAGGAGAAUUUUGAAAUUAAACCAGAGAGGACGAUACGUGAAGUUCCAAUAGGGAAGGGUUUGUCAGAGGCACUCAGAUUAUUGAGAGAAAUAGGUACACUGAAGGAGGCAGAUAUGGAAUUGGCUGGUCGAAACACAGAUAAGAAGAAAAACAAGCUGAUUGGGAUUCAUGGUGGUGAUGUGGAAGGGGAAGAAGAGAUACAAAUUAACAGGAUUGAUGAAUUUGGGCGAAAUCUAACUCCAAAGGAGUCCUUUAGGUUAUUUUCACAUCAAUUUCAUGGGAAGGGGCCAGGAAAGGAGAAGCAAGAGAAACGUAUACGGCAACACCAGAAGGAACUGAAGAUGAAAAAUCCAUCACUAUCUGUGGCGGAGAGGAUGACAAAGUCUCAGGCUCAAUUUAAAAUUGUUCUAAGCGGACAUAUUCAACCAGGGCUUGCUACAGCUGACAAGGGCAUGCUUGGUGAUAAGAAGGUUGGACAUGUUUCGGGCAUAAAACGCAAGUCUGAUUCAGGACAAUAUUCGCGCUGCCAUAAAUUCCACAAUGUAUGAUUUGCAACUUUCAAAUAAGUGUAGUUUAGUUGCUUCUUCUUUAUAUUACCUGAACUUUUACGAUUGUAGCUAAUUGAUUAGAUGAUUUGGCAUGUCAUCCCAUGUUACGUUUUGGAUAUUUGUUUUCCUUGUGUUGUUUAUUCGAUUCUAUUCUACGUCGUUGCCAUGAUGUACUUGCAAAAUCUCUAAUAUGGUUGAUGAUAUUAUAUAUCGAGGUAUUUAUGUUGGCAAAAAGGAAAAUGGUGGCCUGCGUGAUCUCAAGAUUUAGUUGAAUGCCUCAAGGCACUCAAAGAAUGCAGAAGAAGAAGAUCUCUAGGAGUUAUCAACUUAUUUCCUUCGGCUAUACAGGGUAUACAUGUCAAGUGUGUGUAUGUAUUUGACUGGAAGAAGGCCUAUUUUGUGUUGAUCUCAAGGUUUUGUUUCGUGGGUCGUUGAGUUCUUGUUGAAUUUAUAUGAAGAAUCAACAUCAGUGGAAUAAAUUAGAUAAUAGCAGCAAGUCUGUACUGAAUUCUCUGGUGUAUGCUAUUAAACAUGAGUGAAAAUAACCUAUUUGUACAGUAAAAAAUUAAGCUGAGGCAAACAUGUGUAAGCAUCGUCACUGUAUUUGUGCUCCAACAUGCUAUUUCACAUUCGCGUUCACUCAAAUACAGCACAAGUUUGACAAGGAGGGAAGGAGUUGCAUUUUACGUUGUCGGAGAGUGAUGUGAUCAAGUGGUGUAAGCUGUGCUGCUACCAGCAAUCGGGUCUUGAAUUUAAGCUCUAAAUGGCAUGUUGAUUGUAUUGAAAAUCAUUUGAUAUUGUAUAGUUAAUAUGAGGUGUGCUGCAAAUGCCUCUGUUGAUUGAUUAUGCUCUGCAAAUAAUACUAUGAAUGUUCACCGUUUCUCUU